rnacentral:rRNA from 1 species
GACGAACGCUGGCGGCGUGCUUAACACAUGCAAGUCGAACGGAAAGGCCCUGCUUUUGUGGGGUGCUCGAGUGGCGAACGGGUGAGUAACACGUGAGUAACCUGCCCCUGACUUUGGGAUAACUUCAGGAAACUGGGGCUAAUAUCGGAUAGGAGCUCCUGCUGCAUGGUGGGGGUUGGAAAGUUUCGGCGGUUGGGGAUGGACUCGCGGCUUAUCAGCUUGUUGGUGGGGUAGUGGCUUACCAAGGCUUUGACGGGUAGCCGGCCUGAGAGGGUGACCGGCGACAUUGGGACUGAGAUACGCCCCAGACUCCUACGGGAGGCAGCAGUGGGAAAUAUUGCACAAUGGGCCGAAGCCUGAUGCAGCAACGCCGCGUGCGGGAUGACGGCCUUCGGGUGGUAAACCGCUUUCGCCUGUGACGAAGCGUGAGUGACGGUAAUGGGUAAAGAAGCACCGGCUAACUACGUG